rnacentral:rRNA from 1 species
UGAACGCUGGCGGUAGGCCUAACACAUGCACGUCGCACGGCAGCACAGUAAGAGCUUGCUCUUACGGGUGGCGAGUGGCGGACGGGUGUGGAAUACAUCGGAAUCUACUUUUUCGUGGGGGAUAACGUAGGGAAACUUACGCUACUACCGCAUACGACCUACGGGUGAAAGCAGGGGAUCUUCGGACCUUGCGCGAUUGAAUGAGCCGAUGUCGGAUUAGCUAGUUGGCGGGGUAAAGGCCCACCAAGGCGACGAUCCGUAGCUGGUCUGAGAGGAUGAUCAGCCACACUGGAACUGAGACACGGUCCAGACUCCUACGGGAGGCAGCAGUGGGGAAUAUUGGACAAUGGGCGCAAGCCUGAUCCAGCCAUACCGCGUGGGUGAAGAAGGCCUUCGGGUUGUAAAGCCCUUUUGUUGGGAAAGAAAAGCAGCAGGUUAAUACCCCGCUGUUCUGACGGUACCCAAAGAAUAAGCACCGGCUAACUUCGUG